GUGAGGAAUAUUGGUCAAUAGCCUUACGGCUGAACCAGCAACUUGGAAGAAUGUAUAACGAAUAAGUCGUAUAAAGUUCUAGGUAGAAGAAUGAUCAUGACAAUUUUCUAUCUAUAAGUCUUGACCAAAUUACGUGCCAGCAGUCGCGGUAACACGUAGAAGACUAGUGUUAUUCAUCUUUAGUCGGUUUAAAGGGUACCUAGACGGGUAAUCAAGCCAUAGUAGGGACUAAUUACCUAGAGUUUUAUGAGAGAAAGGUCGAAUUUUCGGAGGAAAGUUGGUAUUUUUUGAUACCGGAAAGACGGGUAACGGCGAAGGCAACCUUCUAUGUUAAAACUGACGUUGAGGGACGAAGCCUUGGGUAGCGAAAAGGAUUAGAUACCCUAGUAGUCCUUGGAGAAAAUUAUGAGUGUCAUAGGUUAGCAUUAUAAGGAUAUUUCAGUCAGUUUAGCACAAUAAUAUAUUAUAGCUUAAACUAUGUCCUUUGUAACCUAUAAAUGAAAGUGUAAGCAUUCCACCUUAUGAGUAAAGCGGCAACGCCCAAAUUGAAAUCAUUAGACCGUUUCUGAAACCAGUAGUGAAGUAUGUUUAUUUAAUUCGAUGACCCAGCGAAUAACCUUACCACAUUAUGCAUUGAAUAUUAUUCGAAUUAU
rnacentral:rRNA from 1 species